AUUGAACGCUGGCGGCAUGCCUUACACAUGCAAGUCGAACGGUAACGCGGGGCAACCUGGCGACGAGUGGCGAACGGGUGAGUAAUACAUCGGAACGUGCCCAGUAGUGGGGGAUAGCCCGGCGAAAAGCCGGAUUAAUACCGCAUACGACCUACGGGUGAAAGCAGGGGAUCGCAAGACCUUGCGCUAUUGGAGCGGCCGAUGUCAGAUUAGGUUGUUGGUGGGGUAAAAGCCUACCAAGCCGACGAUCUGUAGCUGGUCUGAGAGGACGACCAGCCACACUGGGACUGAGACACGGCCCAGACUCCUACGGGAGGCAGCAGUGGGGAAUUUUGGGACAAUGGGCGCAAGCCUGAUCCAGCCAUGCCGCGUGCGGGAAGAAGGCC
rnacentral:rRNA from 1 species